rnacentral:lncRNA from 1 species
GUAUAAGAUCAAACUGAUGUGAACCUGAUCAAUUACAGAAAGCACAUGAUGAUCGUGAAUCAAAGAAUGGUCAUACUGAAAGUAUCAAUGCGGCCAAGCAAGGUGGUCCUCAACCAAGUGUACAGCUGAAUCGCGUCACUAAGGGCCUGGUCGGAGGUCCUCCGCUCCGCAAUCCCACUCUUGGACUUGGUGGAGCAACAUUUAAAAAUUGUAGAGCGGGGAAAAAGGUGCUCCGCAGAUCCUCAGAUUUGACAGAGCUGGAGCAUCUCCGAACAGCUCCUAAGAAGGUAUAUAUAUAUAACUAUUCUAACCAUUUCUGUAAUACUCCCUCUGUCCCAAAAUAAGUGUCUUAAUCUUAGUAUAACUUUGUACUAUAGUUAGUACAAAGUUAGGACAAUUAUUUUGGGACGGAGGGAGUAAUAUAUAUAUCUGAUGACAAUGGUUAUAAUAGUUAGUUGGUCUAAUUCCAUGUGCAAUCGUCCAUUUUUGCAUUAAGUGAAAUCUUCCAUGGUUUGUGAUAAUGAAUGUUUCAUUUCUUGAAAACAUAUAGGAUAAAAUGAAAGUCUUGUUAUUUUUUGUUGAACCUGAGAAGCAAAAAUAAAUGUGGCUGAAGGAACUUUAGUGAGUAGAGAUAAAAAAUAUGUGAUUGGAGAAAGCAUGCUUGCAGAUCAAUAUGCAACAAUUUUUGUUUCUGCUGUUUCAAGACUUGGAGAUGAGACACUGGUUAGACCUUAUGACAAGUUCCGAACAGUAUAAGGGAUGCUAUUGGUCAUGUUAUUGCAUGGCCUCUAUCACAGGUAAGUACACUUCCAUAUGAUGACUGAUUAUGCUCCAAUGUACAUACUUCAGGUUUAUUAUUUAGGAAGAAUCUUUGUGUUUUUAGGUGAAAAACCCAAUCCCAACCACUCCUACACAGCCGCAAAACAAGCCACCAAACACUGGUACAACUCUUACAAAUUCAUCAAAGUACAUUUCUUCUCACACUACUCUUAAAACUUACAUACUACUAUUUUCUCUGUUAUCUUCCUUUUUCAGCAUAGCACAAGAUUACAAAAGGAGUGCAUUGCAAGAGCGACAAGCAACUACAGAAGAAUUAGUUUUUAAAUGGACAAAUAUUGUGUAUUAUAUAUAAAGGAUUUCUAGCUUCAUAGGAAAAUUUGGUUGUGGUUGUAUGAUAUUUUCAUAAUUAUUUGCAUC